GGGAGAGAAACAAAAGACCUCAAAUUUGGAAGAGAACAAGUGGUUCAAACAGAUGGUAGUCUGGGAGUCAAUGUGGUGGUUUUGGUGAGGCUGGGAUCACUAGGUAGGAGCCGGGGAGACUGGGUAGUGAAGGCAACAGAGGUGCUUUUAGCAAGCUCUCCAAGAGACUUGUGUGUUUACGUAUCUCAUUGAAUAUACUUGACUCACGUAGCUACUUCUGGAUGAAAGAGUCUCAAAGGAACCCAUCGAGUAUAAUUUGUGUUGUCCAGCUACUUUCAAGGGUGGAGCCUACUUGGAGCAUGUUCAAGCUUACCAGGAUCAUGCUAUUAAAGAACAUUGACUCCCCUUCCAGCAGCUAUCAAAUGUCAAUAACUGCUUAGUUUGUGGUCUGGGCUACAGAUGAACGGAUAAAGACAUAUAAUAUUGCCAGGGAGAGGGCUGUCUCAGUGGUUGUUCUUGGUUCUUCUUGAGGCAACGGAGGGGGAAGAGCAUCUGCGGGGUAAUACUUGGUCUUCCAAGAUAUUUGGGGUUGAUGGACAAUAAUAAACUGUUUCCUUGCCUUAAGUCUAAGCCACUUUGUUGUGGUAGCUGACCUGCUUGUCUGAGUUUCUCUGAGGCCAGAAACUGUUUAGCACCUCAUCAUAAAACAAUG